AUGUUCAAAUACAUUCAAAAAGGAAUACAAGUGCAUAAAACCCUAAAUCCUAAGUUCUAUCCUAAUCUUCAAAGAAAGCAUCAUGAUCUUCAUCGAUUCUUCUUGUCCAAAUGCUUUCAAUGGCCUUUCAAUACACGUGACUUCUUUGUUCUCAAGCCAACUCCAACAACCAGCCCUGCACAAGUAUUUUGGCAGCUGAAAAUACAGAAGAAAAAGAGGAUGAAACUCGUAAUAAACCGUGCAGCAUACAUAAAAAUCAAAAGAAGAGAAAUUGUUAAAUCAGACAACAGAAUAAACAAAACCAAAGUUUGA